rnacentral:RNase_P_RNA from 1 species
GCGUUCGCGGCUGCAAGUGCCGAAAGGCCGCAGGCGAGGAAAGUCCGGGCUUCAUAGGGCAGGAUGCCGGAUAACGUCCGGUGGAGGCGACUCCAAGGCUAGUGCAACAGAAAUAAACCGCCUGUACAGGUAAGGGUGGAAGGGCAGUGUAAGAGACUACCGCCUGCACGGUAACGUGCGGGGCAUAUGUAAACCCCAUCCGAAGCAAGACCGAAGGAAAACGAUGUGGCGGCCCGUCACGUUUUAGGUAGGUCGCUUGAACCUGCCGGCGACGGCAGGUCUGGAUAGAUGAACGUUCAACGACAUAACCCGGCUUACCGUCUUGCUUG